rnacentral:rRNA from 1 species
UACGGAGGGAGCUAGCGUUGUUCGGAAUUACUGGGCGUAAAGCGCACGUAGGCGGCUUUGUAAGUUAGAGGUGAAAGCCCGGAGCUCAACUCCGGAAUUGCCUUUAAGACUGCAUCGCUUGAAUCCAGGAGAGGUGAGUGGAAUUCCGAGUGUAGAGGUGAAACUCGUAGAUAUUCGGAAGAACACCAGUGGCGAAGGCGGCUCACUGGACUGGUAUUGACGCUGAGGUGCGAAAGCGUGGGGAGCAAACAGG